UUUGGGAGCUGGCUUGCCUGCGAUGGCGUCACCUCGGUUCACAUGAAAAACCGAGUCGCCUGCAUCGCGGGCAAGCCCGGCUCCCACA
rnacentral:antisense_RNA from 1 species